rnacentral:rRNA from 1 species
GGAAUAUUGCGCAAUGGGCGAAAGCCUGACGCAGCAACGCCGCGUGGGGGAUGACGGCCUUCGGGUUGUAAACCCCUUUCGGGAGGGAAGAAAUUGACGGUACCUCCUAAAGAAGCCCCGGCCAACUACGUGCCAGCAGCCGCGGUAAUACGUAGGGGGCAAGCGUUGUCCGGAAUCAUUGGGCGUAAAGAGCUCGUAGGCGGCUCAGUAAGUCGGCUGUGAAAGCCCGGGGCUCAACCCCGGAACUGCA